GUAAAAUGGACCAAUCAGCAGGAUGUGGGUGGGGCCAGAUAAGGGAAUAAAAGCAGGCCACCAGAGCCAGCAGCAGUAACCCGCUUGGAUCCAGGUUGACAGCACACGUCAGAAACAUUGAGAAGAGGAACAGACCCAAGCAUGAAUGAGGAUUCAUUUUCAUAUCUGGAUCUCCAAGCACUUCAGUUAAAGGUGAAGAGCCGCCUUCUCCCAGGUGUUGCAGUAGAUCAGGAGCUGCACUGUCAGAAGGGAUGGGCACCACGCGGAGACUGUCCACUCCCUGCAGUGCACAGCACGAUGAAGACUUACUGAAUUGCACCUAAACAUAUCAACAACCCACUGAUAAAGCUUGGACAUUUGUCCCCUUCAAACCUCGUGUUGAAAUUUCAUCGCCAAUGUUGGAGCCCAUCUUGGUGAAGACAGCCUGUCUGUCCACAGGGAGAACCAGGAGAAGCCCAAGUGGUCUUGACUCUGACUCGCUCCAGGCGUCUCCUGUUGAUCAAUGCCACAGUCCUCCUCCAGGUGCCCUACCUGCAGUUUGGCAGGCUCGAUUCUCUCUCUCUGGGAUCUCGUAUAUUCUCCUGACACUGACCUUCACAGGCUCCCACAGUGACUCCUGGCCACCACCGUCUGGCUCUCUGAGCCAUCUCCACUGGUCAGAGGCACCCCCCCAGCACCCACCCCAACCCUGUGUUAAAUCAAAGACCCCCACAGUGCUCUGUUUCUAACAAAGUUUCUUCUAGGAAAGCACUUCUUAGAUUUAUAAUUUUGUAUGUAAUAUUGUGAAGUCAGGAAGAAAAUGUGAAGAGUUCAAGCAUCUUUUCUGGAUCAUCCGAGGAAAACAGUUCAAGAUUUCCAAUAAUAGUAAAAACAUCAAACAGAUAUCUCAGAGGUUUCUAUGAACCAGACAAUGAAGAAUGGUAGAAUAAACCACUCCUGCCAACCCUUCAGCUAAGAAGUAGAAAAGCUGGACCAAAAAACCUGUUGGAAGACAUCAGACAGCUAACAAAGCAAAGAAACAUUGUAAGGCACAGAUCCAGGAAAAGAAAGAAACUCAGCCCAGCUUUUCUCCAGGGUCAAAUUCCAGAAGAAAAGGCUAAGAAACUGAGCAGGGCUUUAGAUUCACCCCUGUGAAGAGGACAAAUUAGAGUCUGCCAAGGAGGGAGUUUUUGGGAAAUCUGAAGAUUAUGGAGUAUGAGUGAACCAGAAAUAAAUAAUUCUGGCAAGGAUGACACCCAAUUUUAUCUCAAAUCCUGAUAGGGUAAAGAUAGCCUGGGAUUGCUAACACCUUCCAGAAAUAAAUGUAAGUCUUCUCUGAAAAAACAAUAUCCUAUAUCUCAAUUAUCUUUCCAAUUUUUCCUAUACCAUAUCUGGAAAACAAUGAAAAGUAACCAGGUUUAUGAGAAGACAAGAAAAAAAUAAGUGAUCAAAACCAAGGGAAACAACAGACAGAAAAAAUGAACCCAAAGAGGAUUCAGAUAAUGGAGAAAUCAGACAUAAAAUUUAAAAUAAUUAUUACUAAUACACUUAAGUAAUGAAAGACAAGAUGAAAAAUUUUGGCAAAGAACCUGAAAUUUUUUAAAAAUAGAAAUUAUAGAAAUGACCAAAUACAAUCAACACAAGGAAACAAUGGAUGUAUUUAAUCAUAGACACAGCUAAAGAGAAAAUUAGAUAACUUAUAGAGCAGAAGAAAAUCUCUAAACUGAAACACAGAGAAGGAAAAGGAAGAUAAAGGAAAAAGAAUAUAAGACAAGGUGAACAUAUCUAAGAUAUAAAUGGGUCCCCAGAAGAAGAGAAGAGAGAAAAUGUGGCAGAACUUCAGCAAAUACAGGACGUAUUUGAUUGCAUAGGAUCUCCAAAAAGUCUGAAAGCAUAGACAAUGUAUACAAUGUUUUCAAGGACAUUUAAUCCGUAAAAACCAAAAUAUAUCUUCAUUUUCAAGCCAAUGGAUACCCUAUAGAUUUAAGGCUAUCAACCACAAAAAGCAGUGGAAAUAAGAGCAAAAAAACAGUAUAUAAGUUAUAUCCUUUGACAAAGUAGAAAACCACUGGGAGAAAAACGAGAAUAAGUUCAUUGCCUGAUUUACAGGUAAAAAUAGGUGAUAAUAGGUGGGAAUCAAAACAUAUAAUUAAGAGUCACAAACCAACUCCUAGAAGCCUAAAUAAUAAAAGAGGGGAGGGCUGCGGACAUGAUAUGAGGGUAUAAAAUGUGUAAAUAUACAAUUAUAUAAAUAUUUAAGUAUAAAGGUAUCCACAAAGUUAUAUGAAAGUACUAUCUUUCCUAAAUACUAAAUGAAUAAGAAAACAAAAAGAACAAAUUAGAACAGACAACAUGGUAAAAGAGCUCAAGUACAUAGAAUGUAUUUUACGUGGUACAUAUACGUCGAAUAACAGGACAGAGCUGGAGCCAAACAUUUUGGUCGCAGUGUUACGUUAAAAGGGCUUAAUCCACUAAUUCUCUAGGAAAAGUAUUUUAAGACUAGCUCACAAAACAGAGGGCCAUUCUGUGCUGUAUAUAAGACAUGCCUAAAAGAAUACCAUUUUAAAAAGCUGAAAAUAGAAGGGACUAUGCAAACAGAAAGAAAGUGGGGGGAGGAGGAGGCAGAAUUCUGGCCAAAAAGCCUUAAAUUAGACAAAAAUGACUAUUCCUAAUCCUGAAAGCUACCAUUCAGAAUGAAGAUUACAAUUUGAAUAUUUAUGUUCCAAACGAGGUGACAGAGUUCAUAAUUAGAAACUACAGGAGAA
rnacentral:lncRNA from 1 species